UUGGGAAUAUUGCGCAAUGGGGGAAACCCUGACGCAGCAACGCCGCGUGAAGGAAGACGGUUUUCGGAUUGUAAACUUCUUUUAUUGAGGACGAAACAAAUGACGGUACUCAAUGAAUAAGCUCCGGCUAACUACGUGCCAGCAGCCGCGGUAAUACGUAGGGAGCAAGCGUUGUCCGGAAUUACUGGGUGUAAAGGGCGAGUAGGCGGGACAAAAAGUCAGAUGUGAAAACUAUGGGCUCAACCCAUAGCCUGCAUUUGAAACUUUUGUUCUUGAGGGAUGGAGAGGUAAGCGGAAUUCCUAGUGUAGCGGUGAAAUGCGUAGAUAUUAGGAGGAACACCAGUGGCGAAGGCGGCUUACUGGACAUCUACUGACGCUGAGGAGCGAAAGCGUGGGGAGCGAACAGG
rnacentral:rRNA from 2 species